GGUGGGGUUCCCGAGCGGCCAAAGGGACCAGACUGUAAAUCUGCCGUCAUCGACUUCGAAGGUUCGAAUCCUUCCCCCACCACCA
rnacentral:tRNA from 1 species